GCGUAGCGAGAGAACGUUGCGUCAGCAACGGCCCGCAGGGCGAGCCACGUAGUGGCGAGUAAUCCUCUAUCACCGACCA
rnacentral:sRNA from 1 species